rfam:Schistosoma haematobium scaffold936_7, whole genome shotgun sequence.
AUCUAGCUGACGAGUCCCAAAUAAGACAAAACGUGCGUUCUGGAU